UCAAGUCAUAUCUGGGUAACUUAUCAACAGAUUCAAACCCCUGAAAAUAACAGACGUAACAAGAAACCAUGUUUCUAUGAGAAACCACUAAGAAUUUCAACACUAUGGAUUAUGAGACAUACAAUUGAAUUUAGUAAAGAAGCUCGCAGGCGAUCAU